rnacentral:rRNA from 1 species
GACGAACGCUGGCGGCGUGCCUAAUACAUGCAAGUAGAACGCUGAAGGAGGAGCUUGCUUCUCUGGAUGAGUUGCGAACGGGUGAGUAACGCGUAGGUAACCUGCCUGGUAGCGGGGGAUAACUAUUGGAAACGAUAGCUAAUACCGCAUAAGAGUAGAUGUUGCAUGACAUUUGCUUAAAAGGUGCAAUUGCAUCACUACCAGAUGGACCUGCGUUGUAUUAGCUAGUUGGUGGGGUAACGGCUUACCAAGGCGACGAUACAUAGCCGACCUGAGAGGGUGAUCGGCCACACUGGGACUGAGACACGGCCCAGACUCCUACGGGAGGCAGCAGUAGGGAAUCUUCGGCAAUGGACGGAAGUCUGACCGAGCAACGCCGCGUGAGUGAAGAAGGUUUUCGGAUCGUAAAGCUCUGUUGUAAGAGAAGAACGAGUGUGAGAGUGGAAAGUUCACACCGUGACGGUAUCUUACCAGAAAGGGACGGCUAACUACGUG